rnacentral:rRNA from 1 species
GAUUGAACGCUGGCGGCAGGCCUAACACAUGCAAGUCGAGCGGUAGCACAGAGAGCUUGCUCUCGGGUGACGAGCGGCGGACGGGUGAGUAAUGUCUGGGAAACUGCCUGAUGGAGGGGGAUAACUACUGGAAACGGUAGCUAAUACCGCAUAACGUCGCAAGACCAAAGUGGGGGACCUUCGGGCCUCAUGCCAUCAGAUGUGCCCAGAUGGGAUUAGCUAGUAGGUGGGGUAACGGCUCACCUAGGCGACGAUCCCUAGCUGGUCUGAGAGGAUGACCAGCCACACUGGAACUGAGACACGGUCCAGACUCCUACGGGAGGCAGCAGUGGGGAAUAUUGCACAAUGGGCGCAAGCCUGAUGCAGCCAUGCCGCGUGUGUGAAGAAGGCCUUCGGGUUGUAAAGCACUUUCAGCGGGGAGGAAGGCGUUAAGGUUAAUAACCUUGGCGAUUGACGUUACCCGCAGAAGAAGCACCGGCUAACUCCGUGCCAGCAGCCGCGGUAAUACGGAGGGUGCAAGCGUUAAUCGGAAUUACUGGGCGUAAAGCGCACGCAGGCGGUCUGUCAAGUCGGAUGUGAAAUCCCCGGGCUCAACCUGGGAACUGCAUUCGAAACUGGCAGGCUAGAGUCUUGUAGAGGGGGGUAGAAUUCCAGGUGUAGCGGUGAAAUGCGUAGAGAUCUGGAGGAAUACCGGUGGCGAAGGCGGCCCCCUGGACAAAGACUGACGCUCAGGUGCGAAAGCGUGGGGAGCAAACAGGAUUAGAUACCCUGGUAGUCCACGCCGUAAACGAUGUCGAUUUGGAGGUUGUGCCCUUGAGGCGUGGCUUCCGGAGCUAACGCGUUAAAUCGACCGCCUGGGGAGUACGGCCGCAAGGUUAAAACUCAAAUGAAUUGACGGGGGCCCGCACAAGCGGUGGAGCAUGUGGUUUAAUUCGAUGCAACGCGAAGAACCUUACCUGGUCUUGACAUCCACAGAACUUUCCAGAGAUGGAUUGGUGCCUUCGGGAACUGUGAGACAGGUGCUGCAUGGCUGUCGUCAGCUCGUGUUGUGAAAUGUUGGGUUAAGUCCCGCAACGAGCGCAACCCUUAUCCUUUGUUGCCAGCGGUUAGGCCGGGAACUCAAAGGAGACUGCCAGUGAUAAACUGGAGGAAGGUGGGGAUGACGUCAAGUCAUCAUGGCCCUUACGACCAGGGCUACACACGUGCUACAAUGGCAUAUACAAAGAGAAGCGACCUCGCGAGAGCAAGCGGACCUCAUAAAGUAUGUCGUAGUCCGGAUUGGAGUCUGCAACUCGACUCCAUGAAGUCGGAAUCGCUAGUAAUCGUAGAUCAGAAUGCUACGGUGAAUACGUUCCCGGGCCUUGUACACACCGCCCGUCACACCAUGGGAGUGGGUUGCAAAAGAAGUAGGUAGCUUAACCUUCGGGAGGGCGCUUACCACUUUGUGAUUCAUGACUGGGGUGA